AGUGGAUCUGAUCAUCGGCCAUUAAAAGAUAUGUAUCCCAUCUUGAUGCCCACUUGAUAUCACUUUCCUGAGAGUUGGAUACAAUAAUUACAGAUUCAUCACAACCGGCUCAUAUGCAUGAUAAGAGUUGGAUACAAUAAUUAAUGAUUCAUCACAACCGGCUCACUUGCAUGUGUAUUUUUAUGUUGUAAAAAAACUUUUUUUUUGUUGUUCUAAAGAUAUUCAACAUUAAAUAAUAGGUGAUGAUAAUGGCAAAAGGUAGGAAAUAGAGUGCAAGAACAAAAAAGUAGUAUCCCCAUUCACUAGUAAAGCUAUUAAAAGGACAGGGGAGGCAAUUUUGGGCAUAAAUAUAAUGGCUGACCAAGGUUGUUGAGCUAGCAGUAUCACUUCAUCACUAGUAGAGUAAAACACCGCCACUUAACAAUAUAAAACAUCAUCUCCAUAAUUAGAUGUGUUUUAC
rnacentral:lncRNA from 1 species